UUUGUUUCCAAUGCCAGCAGUCCUGUUUUAAAGAGGGAGGAGACACAAAUGCCCCCUCAAAUAGAAAACUACUCCUAAUCCUUCUGGAAAGCGGACUUCCAUUAAACAUCUAAAGAACACCUUAUUAUGUAGAACACUGUGCUGGGCACCCCAGGCCAUCAGAUAAUCACAGAACUCAGAUGUUAGCCACUCUGGCUCCCAUAUCUUACAGAUGAGGAAACUAUGCCACAGUGGGGUAGAGCUCUGCUAGUCUGGAAGAAAAAGAAGCUACAGAAAGGCAGCCUGAUCCUAGACUGAAUCCAGUACUGAAAGAGAGGUGAUCUUACUAAAAUGCGUAACUGCUAUCUUGGGAAGGAAGGGCAUCUGGAAUAAGUCCUCAGAGCAUCUGCUGAUGCCUCCCCUGGUCCGAACUUGACAGGAAGCUGGAAGAAGGCACACAUGGUCAGCCUCAGGGAAUUGCAGAGAGGGGUUCUGGACACAGACAUUGCGAAGUGACGUGGCAUGGAUGGAAUGAGUGGUAAGGAAAGGAGGGAUGAGAACGAUGUCAGGUGAUGAGAACGGCGUGUGAGGAGGGCACCUUCAUGUUGUCAUGGCAGUGGCCGUCUAUUGGGGCCUGCCAGCCUGGCUCUGAACCCUGACUCCACUACCUGCUAACGGACUGAUCUGGGUUAGGUUCCUAUGGGGUGACGACACUCAUGGUCUCUGGUGUCUCUAUACAUCUUGUGAGCACAGGUGUUGACUGUCUUUGCUUGACUAUAUUUCUGAGGAUAUUUAAGUAGCAAACAGCCUUGGAAGAGAGGGAGUGUAUCUCUCUCCAGAGCAAAGGUCAGCCAUCAUAAAAGAUUUGGGUUUUCUGGGUUCUUCUGUAGCACAACCCGCUGUGUGUGAGGCGUCACCUGGCCCUCCUCGGUGUCAUCUGUGGAAGCUGGGGUGCAGGGAGUUGGCACAAAUGCUGACACGAGCUCCCACUAGUGCUGUGAGCAACAAAGCUCAGCCCUGUCUUGGACUGGGGCCUCCUGUGUGCUGCCGGCACCCAGGAGACUUUGUGUGGCAGGCCAGCUGGCUACUGUGUCAACAGGGCAAGAUCUCAAGCCCUUCACA